rnacentral:rRNA from 1 species
GACAGAGGGUGCAAACGUUGUUCGGAAUUACUGGGCGUAAAGCGCGUGUAGGCUGCUCUGCAAGUCGGAUGUGAAAGCCCUGGGCUCAACCUAGGAAGUGCACUCGAAACUGCAGAGCUUGAGUCUCGGAGAGGAUCGCGGAAUUCUCGGUGUAGAGGUGAAAUUCGUAGAUAUCGAGAGGAACACCGGUGGCGAAGGCGGCAAUCUGGACGAUGACUGACGCUGAGACGCGAAAGCGUGGGGAGCGAACAGG